AUACAUGCAAGUCGAACGAACUUCCGUUAAUUGAUCAUGGACGUGCUUGCACUGAAUGAGAUUUUAACACGAAGUGAGUGGCGGACGGGUGAGUAACACGUGGGUAACCUGCCCAGAAGCAGGGGAUAACACCUGGAAACAGAUGCUAAUACCGUAUAACAGAGAAAACCGCCUGGUUUUCUUUUAAAAGAUGGCUCUGCUAUCACUUCUGGAUGGACCCGCGGCGCAUUAGCUAGUUGGUGAGGUAACGGCUCACCAAGGCGAUGAUGCGUAGCCGACCUGAGAGGGUAAUCGGCCACAUUGGGACUGAGACACGGCCCAGACUCCUACGGGAGGCAGCAGUAGGGAAUCUUCCACAAUGGACGCAAGUCUGAUGGAGCAACGCCGCGUGAGUGAAGAAGGGUUUCGGCUCGUAAAGCUCUGUUGUUAAAGAAGAACGUGGGUGAGAGUAACUGUUCACCCAGUGACGGUAUUUAACCAGAAAGCCACGGCUAACUACGUGCCAGCAGCCGCGGUAAUACGUAGGUGGCAAGCGUUAUCCGGAUUUAUUGGGCGUAAAGCGAGCGCAGGCGGUCUUUUAAGUCUAAUGUGAAAGCCUUCGGCUCAACCGAAGAAGUGCAUUGGAAACUGGGAGACUUGAGUGCAGAAGAGGACAGUGGAACUCCAUGUGUAGCGGUGAAAUGCGUAGAUAUAUGGAAGAACACCAGUGGCGAAGGCGGCUGUCUGGUCUGUAACUGACGCUGAGGCUCGAAAGCAUGGGUAGCGAACAGGAUUAGAUACCCUGGUAGUCCAUGCCGUAAACGAUGAUUACUAAGUGUUGGAGGGUUUCCGCCCUUCAGUGCUGCAGCUAACGCAUUAAGUAAUCCGCCUGGGGAGUACGACCGCAAGGUUGAAACUCAAAGAUUGACGGGGNCGCACAGCGGUGGAGCAU
rnacentral:rRNA from 1 species